rnacentral:rRNA from 1 species
UCCGUAUGGUGAAAUCGUUAGCCGGAAUCACUGGGUUUAAAGGGUGCGUAGGCUGCUGCAUAAGUCAGGGGUGAAAGUUUGUCGCGUAACGAUGGAAUUGCCUUUGAUACUGUGCGGCUUGAAAUUAGGUGAGGUUGGCGGAAUGUGACAUGUAGCGGUGAAAUGCGUAGAUAUGUCAUAGAACACCGAUUGCGAAGGCAGCUGGCUAACCUAAAUUUGACGCCGAGGCACGAAAGCGUGGGUAGCAAACAGG